GAUGAACGCUGGCGGCGUGCCUAAUACAUGCAAGUCGAGCGAACGGACGAGAAGCUUGCUUCUCUGAUGUUAGCGGCGGACGGGUGAGUAACACGUGGAUAACCUACCUAUAAGACUGGGAUAACUUCGGGAAACCGGAGCUAAUACCGGAUAAUAUUUUGAACCGCAUGGUUCAAAAGUGAAAGACGGUCUUGCUGUCACUUAUAGAUGGAUCCGCGCUGCAUUAGCUAGUUGGUAAGGUAACGGCUUACCAAGGCAACGAUGCAUAGCCGACCUGAGAGGGUGAUCGGCCACACUGGAACUGGGACACGGUCCAGACUCCUACGGGAGGCAGCAGUAGGGAAUCUUCCGCAAUGGGCGAAAGCCUGACGGAGCAACGCCGCGUGAGUGAUGAAGGUCUUCGGAUCGUAAAACUCUGUUAUUAGGGAAGAACAUAUGUGUAAGUAACUGUGCACAUCUUGACGGUACCUAAUCAGAAAGCCACGGCUAACUACGUGCCAGCAGCCGCGGUAAUACGUAGGUGGCAAGCGUUAUCCGGAAUUAUUGGGCGUAAAGCGCGCGUAGGCGGUUUUUUAAGUCUGAUGUGAAAGCCCACGGCUCAACCGUGGAGGGUCAUUGGAAACUGGAAAACUUGAGUGCAGAAGAGGAAAGUGGAAUUCCAUGUGUAGCGGUGAAAUGCGCAGAGAUAUGGAGGAACACCAGUGGCGAAGGCGACUUUCUGGUCUGUAACUGACGCUGAUGUGCGAAAGCGUGGGGAUCAAACAGGAUUAGAUACCCUGGUAGUCCACGCCGUAAACGAUGAGUGCUAAGUGUUAGGGGGUUUCCGCCCCUUAGUGCUGCAGCUAACGCAUUAAGCACUCCGCCUGGGGAGUACGACCGCAAGGUUGAAACUCAAAGGAAUUGACGGGGACCCGCACAAGCGGUGGAGCAUGUGGUUUAAUUCGAAGCAACGCGAAGAACCUUACCAAAUCUUGACAUCCUUUGACAACUCUAGAGAUAGAGCCUUCCCCUUCGGGGGACAAAGUGACAGGUGGUGCAUGGUUGUCGUCAGCUCGUGUCGUGAGAUGUUGGGUUAAGUCCCGCAACGAGCGCAACCCUUAAGCUUAGUUGCCAUCAUUAAGUUGGGCACUCUAAGUUGACUGCCGGUGACAAACCGGAGGAAGGUGGGGAUGACGUCGAAUCAUCAUGCCCCUUAUGAUUUGGGCUACACACGUGCUACAAUGGACAAUACAAAGGGCAGCGAAACCGCGAGGUCAAGCAAAUCCCAUAAAGUUGUUCUCAGUUCGGAUUGUAGUCUGCAACUCGACUACAUGAAGCUGGAAUCGCUAGUAAUCGUAGAUCAGCAUGCUACGGUGAAUACGUUCCCGGGUCU
rnacentral:rRNA from 1 species